rnacentral:misc_RNA from 1 species
UUUUUUAAAAAAAAAAAAAACUCCAUGGCUGCAAUUUGUUAUGCCAACUAACUUGCUUUGCAAAAGGAAGUAAAGGAUAUAUAGGAAAUAUGAUUUACAAGCGUGGUUCCCCUUCAAUGUUAUUUCCCCUGUAGCAUUGGCAUUUCAUUUCACUAUCAAUUUAUUUUUCUUGCUUAAUAUAAGAUUCGCAGGUGAAUAAUGCCAUUUCAACACAUGUAAUUUGCAGAUUGAAUUAGGAAUUUUUUAGCAUCUACAAUCUGGUUCAGCUUUGGUUUGCUGUUUCAAAAACAGAGGAUAUGGAGGACUGCUUGAGCUGGAAGCACUACAGAAGGUUCUGAUGGAAGGCACAGGUCAGUCGUCUCAACAAACUGUUUUGAAGAAUACAAAUUUACUAAAAUGAUACAACCUGGUUCCUUGUCCAUUACAGAAACGUAUGAUAAAAUGCAAGGUGAACUUGUGAAGGAAAGGAACAGCUUAACCAAAAUCUUGACAUCAAAGGAUUUGAAAGCAACUAUAUGCAUUACUAUUUUCACUCAUGCAGCCUUCAAUUUAUUUACUUUACUAUUUUGUGCUGCAUAAUUAUGUUCGCUAUAUGGCUUCGUCUAUUUAUGCUAGUUGUUGGAGAUGGUUGAGCAGAAGGAACUCAAUAGAUCCUUGUUGACACUUCUUGAUGAAAAUAUAGCAAGCGCUCACCAAAGUAACCAGAAUGGAAAAUCUUCGUGCAGCUAUGCUCAAGUACAUGACAGUUUAGCACUCAGAUGCUGCUCACAUGGUUGAUGCAUUGGCAUCCUCAACGGUGGAGUUCCUCCUAGCCAAUUUCUUGAUUACAUAGUCAAUAUGAAAAUGCAUAUUGCAAAGGCUGUUGCUGGAUUUAUUUGGAAGGCACAUAAAACAAGGACAUGGGUUUUGAUGGUUUACUUUUGAAAUACAAGACAUACACUUGGUAGACUUGGACUAAAUCAUCAAGUGUAUGCUUGUGCAUUUGUAUUUAUAUAUAUUAAAUGCAAGAGGUUAUCUGUGUACUGUACAAUCGCUCCAUUUUCCUCCUUGGAUCCUUCAUAGAUUCAAUGAGUAGGAUCUGAAAUCUGUAUUAGAUAUUUAGCUAUGUCAGUCGACUUGCAUAUAAGUUACAACUUGAUUAGAUCAAAAUAUUUUGGUGAGUUACUUCACGAUAAUUUAUUUAGGCCAUUGACUAGCAUUUUCAUCCUUCAUCGUGCUUGGAUGCCCAAUCUUGUUUUUAUGGUGUUUUUGUCCCAAACUGUACCGGUCUCUGUGUGUUUAAGUCCACUGAGUGCAUUGUGGAGGUUAGGCACGUGUAGACACACACAAAGAUCUUCAUUAAUUAGGUAGACUACAGUAUUCGAAGGAAAAGUAAAAACCUGGAUGCUUUAAUUCUUUGCCACAGGAAAGUGGAAAAGAAUAACAGUAUAAAGAGAAAAGAUCAAAGGGAGCAAAGAAUAAUAGAGACAGAGAAAAGAAGGUAUGGACACGUGACAUCUUUUAUUUAAUUUUAGAAGAAGAUAGACAUCUCUAACUUUUAAACCCUCUAUAAAUAUUACUCCCGUUCUUUCAUUCAUUCUAUCGAAAAUCGUUCCAUCUGGACCAUUCCUAUCCUUCAAAGCCAUGGCAAAUUAUGUCCUUUCCCUACUACUUCUCUCCUUUGCCCUGUACACGGCUGGCAUGGCAGGUUCUGCCUCAAGCCCCACGGACUUCAUUAAGUCCUCAUGCAAGGCCACUCGGUAUCCUGACUUGUG